rnacentral:rRNA from 1 species
UACGGAGGGGGCUAGCGUUGUUCGGAAUUACUGGGCGUAAAGCGCACGUAGGCGGCUUUGUAAGUUAGAGGUGAAAGCCCGGAGCUCAACUCCGGAAUUGCCUUUAAGACUGCAUCGCUAGAAUUGUGGAGAGGUAAGUGGAAUUCCGAGUGUAGAGGUGAAAUUCGUAGAUAUUCGGAAGAACACCAGUGGCGAAGGCGACUUACUGGACACAUAUUGACACUGAGGUGCGAAAGCGUGGGGAGCAAACAGG